GAUGAACGCUGGCGGCGUGCUUAACACAUGCAAGUCGAACGGUGAAGCAGGAGCUUGCUCCUGUGGAUCAGUGGCGAACGGGUGAGUAACACGUGAGCAAUCUGCCCUGGACUCUGGGAUAAGCGUUGGAAACAACGUCUAAUACCGGAUACGAGGCAUGGGGGCAUCCCCAACGCCUGGAAAGAACUUCGGUCCAGGAUGAGCUCGCGGCCUAUCAGGUAGUUGGUGAGGUAACGGCUCACCAAGCCUACGACGGGUAGCCGGCCUGAGAGGGUGACCGGCCACACUGGGACUGAGACACGGCCCAGACUCCUACGGGAGGCAGCAGUGGGGAAUAUUGCACAAUGGGCGCAAGCCUGAUGCAGCAACGCCGCGUGAGGGACGACGGCCUUCGGGUUGUAAACCUUUUUUAGCAGGGAAGAAGCGAAAGUGACGGUACCUGCAGAAAAAGCACCGGCUAACUACGUGCCAGCCGCCGCCGUAAUAC
rnacentral:rRNA from 1 species